GGAGAGAAGGCUCAAUGGGUAAGAGCACUGGCUGCUCUUCCAGAGGAAGGACCUGGGUUUGAUUCCCAGUAUCCUCA
rnacentral:tRNA from 1 species